AUAAUUAUUAGGCAAAUAAAUAGUAAAUACAUCUUAGUAUUAAUAAUCAAGAUAAAAUAUGAACCUAAACCUAAAUGUUGACUUAAUAGUAAUCAAAGUACCUAACUAGCUUUAGAAGCGAGUAACACAACGUGUGGGCACGCGGGUAGUUUUAGUGUGUCAUAGAAUGAGCCCAUAGCAUCGUCUAACGUCACAAGUGUUGCAAGAUAGUGGAGACUUCAAUUGAUUCUCCAAUGUGGAGUCCAAGUGACUAGAAUUCGAGGGGAUGUUCAAGUCAGGAGUCAAAUGCAGCCAGAUGAUGUCUCUUGGCUACAGGUACUCGGGUCGUAGUUGAUGUGGUCGUAGACGUGUAUUUGGGAUAUUAUGAUCGGAGCUCGCUGCGAUGGUCAUAAUUGCGGGACCAUGGGCGUCUUCAGUUUUAUAGGUUUUGUUAUGGCUUGUGACGCAUGUGUCACUCGUUAUUGCAUAAAGUCAUUUCUGUUAUGUAUUUAUAUUGAGGAAAGACUUAAACACAUAGAUGUUAAAUGGCUCUUGUUGUUAUUAAUUUAUGAUAGAUGUUUAAGAUGUGAUUUCCGCUA